rnacentral:rRNA from 1 species
AUGAACAAAAAAGAUUACACCCACAUCAAGUCUGUUCUUGACGGUGCUAUCUUUUACUACGACGCACGGGGUGGAGAGAUCAAGGACAAGAAGAAAAAGGAUGGCAGGCCCGCCUUCAGCCAUAAGACCGACUUCUGCUGCAUCCAGCAACCGAGUGAUUCUCUUAGUGAUGGAUUCUAUGUCCUACACCACAUGCUGGAGUACAUACGGGAUCAUCAGGACCUUCGCAUGUCACCUAAAUCUGGCGACGCCCAUAUUCUGCAAUGGGCAAAGAACAUAGGAGAUACCCCGGAUCAUCGACUUCAAGAUGAGUUCUAUCACAUCCAGCAUGAACUUGCCCAAGUCAUCAUGAAGGAGGUCCUCGACAAAACAGGUAUGUUCUACGAGGAAGGGCAAAUGAAGCGGGAAGACGUUCGAACACGCUUAGCCGCUCAGGGUCUCGACCUGAAGCCUUCCGCUAAGCUCGGGGACUAUCUCCCUGAGUUGGAUGGAUGGAACGACAUGUUGGAGUGA